GAGUUUGAUCUUGGCUCAGAUUGAACGCUGGCGGAAUGCUUUACACAUGCAAGUCGAGCGGCAGCGCGGGGCAACCUGGCGGCGAGCGGCGAACGGGUGAGUAAUGCAUCGGAACAUGUCCAUGUCGUGGGGGAUAGCCCGGCGAAAGCCGGAUUAAUACCGCAUACGCCCGAGAGGGGAAAGUGGGGGACCGCAAGGCCUCACGCGAUUGGGUUGGCCGAUGUCCGAUUAGCUAGUUGGCGGGGUAAGAGCCCACCAAGGCGAUGAUCGGUAGCUGGUCUGAGAGGAUGAUCAGCCACACUGGGACUGAGACACGGCCCAGACUCCUACGGGAGGCAGCAGUGGGAAUUUUGGACAAUGGGGGAAACCCUGAUCCAGCCAUUCCGCGUGAGUGAAGAAGGCC
rnacentral:rRNA from 1 species